UACGGAGGGUGCAAGCGUUAUCCGGAUUCACCGGGUUUAAAGGGUGCGUAGGCGGACAGGAAAGUCCGUGGUGAAAUCCUGCAGCUUAACUGCAGAACUGCCGUGGAUACUCUCUGUCUUGAAUAUCGUGGAGGUGAGCGGAAUAUGUCAUGUAGCGGUGAAAUGCAUAGAGAUGACAUAGAACACCGAUUGCGAAGGCAGCUCACUACGCGAAGAUUGACGCUGAGGCACGAAAGCGUGGGGAUCAAACAGG
rnacentral:rRNA from 1 species